ACACCUGUAUUAUUACAACUGUGAAACCAGUGCUGCAUGAGCCUUGCUUGAUCUUUGCCUCAGUGAGACAGCCUUCAGAUGUAUUCUGUUCAGCACAUCAGCUCACAGCUUUGACAGUAGUUCACAUUUUGUGCUUGCAACACCAUGAACAGAAAGAACUUCCCAAGGAGCACUCUGAACCACAUCUCCCAUCUCCAAAAAUGUUGCUUCUAGCACUGAGACUUCAUUGACUUACAGUAAAACAGUAUGAGCAGAUGGGAAGGCUCCCUUUUCCAUUAAAGGGGGGAUUAAAAAAAACCCCACCAUACAGAUUUCAUUCAAAAUGGGAAGAACUGAUGAAUAGAUGCACAUGUAUAUACGAACACGUGAUCAUUAGAUGGUACUCUGCAAAUACCUGCAAUGCAAUUUCACAACCAUCUGGGCUACUAAGCCUAGCUGGUUCUUCAGGCAGGAGCUGGUCAAGCAGGGCAGGACUUCAACGCCAAAUUCAUCCCAAUGUGUACACAAUCUGUCUGUUCUCCCCCCCACCAAAUGUUUCUCACAGAACAAUUGCAAGACAGGAAUAAACUCCUCUCAUUACUGACCAGGAUAUAACAUGUGUUCAGGGACUUUCUGAGGGUAGGUAUUGAGGCAGCUCACACUAAAGAAGAAUUGUAAAUGCAGGGAGAUGUAACUUCUUAAUUCUUCUGUAAUUUGUUUUUUUCUUUAAAUCAAGCAGAGGAAAUCGCAGGCAAGGAAUGCCACAUAAUGCAAGACUGGGAUUGCAUAUUUGGCCGCUGAGACAGCAGGACAUGCACAAGACAAGGUUCCUUCACUGGACAUGCUGCUAGUUUACUGGAGGGUUUUAAAAAUAACUGACAAAAAUGUGGUAUCAACCUGUGAAGAGAGCUGGAACACGUCCAAAAAAAUUAUUCAGAAAACUGCCUAGAGCCACCUAACAAAACUAACAACAGGACCAGAGAGACCACAAGCUGCAUGAACACUUCAAUUCUCCAAGUCCACAUGAACUGCUUUCCACCAUGACACCUAGGUUCCAGCCCUUGCAGGAAACUUAAAUAUAUUAUCAGUGGCUUCUACCCUCUCCAUGCCUCCUACACAGCCUUGCUAUUGAGAAAAUGGGAAUCUACCUGUGGAUUUACCUUUUUUUUUUUUCUGGUUUUGUCCUUCCUCAGAAUGCCCAUGUACUAGUGUGCCUCAGCACUUUACCAGUUCUUGUCAAAACAGGCAUCACUGUCAGUUCUCUGUCUAAAAGUUCAGUGUCUUGCCCAAGUUCCUUGUCUGGGCCUCCUGUACAGUCAAUGAGAAGAGAUAAGUAGGCUCUACAUAACAAGUCAUCACCUUAAAACAGACACAAAAGGAGUCUCUUCCUCUGGAGGCAUCUCUCCGUGUUGACUACAGCUUAGACAAGACACCUACUUUUUAUUAAACAGCUGAAUUACCAUGACAUUCUUCUUAUCCCUCACAGGUAACAUCAAAAGAAUACUAUCAUCUGUACAGCCAUAAAUACUCUAAAAUAUGUAAAAAUUCAACUAGAAAGUAAUUAGUUAUUUUCUUUGUUUUUCAAUAUAUUACAAUUUGUUUAGAAAUUAUUUCCUCAAGCAUGGCAAAAUUAGAGUCAGCUGUUGCAAGCUGACAUUUCACUGUGUUUUCAUUGUUGCAGCACUAAUUCAAAAUCUUACAAUAGGCCAAAAUGCAUCAUUUAUUCGUGUGGUUUGCACUGAUUAGCCAAAAUUUUUUACCUGGAACAGUCUUUACUUGUUGCAGCAUUGCUAGCUCUGAACAGACAAAAGUCUCAAGAUAAUAAAAACAGUGUUAGAAUAAAAAAAAA